GAGCGAACAGAUAAGGAGCUUGCUCCUUUGAAGUUAGCGGCGGACGGGUGAGUAACACGUGGGUAACCUACCUAUAAGACUGGGAUAACUUCGGGAAACCGGAGCUAAUACCGGAUAACAUUUAGAACCGCAUGGUUCUAAAGUGAAAGAUGGUUUUGCUAUCACUUAUAGAUGGACCCGCGCCGUAUUAGCUAGUUGGUAAGGUAACGGCUUACCAAGGCGACGAUACGUAGCCGACCUGAGAGGGUGAUCGGCCACACUGGAACUGAGACACGGUCCAGACUCCUACGGGAGGCAGCAGUAGGGAAUCUUCCGCAAUGGGCGAAAGCCUGACGGAGCAACGCCGCGUGAGUGAUGAAGGGUUUCGGCUCGUAAAACUCUGUUAUUAGGGAAGAACAAAUGUGUAAGUAACUGUGCACAUCUUGACGGUACCUAAUCAGAAAGCCACGGCUAACUACGUGCCAGCAGCCGCGGUAUACGUAGGUGGCAAGCGUUAUCCGGAAUUAUUGGGCGUAAAGCGCGCGUAGGCGGUUUCUUAAGUCUGAUGUGAAAGCCCACGGCUCAACCGUGGAGGGUCAUUGGAAACUGGGAAACUUGAGUGCAGAAGAGGAAAGUGGAAUUCCAUGUGUAGCGGUGAAAUGCGCAGAGAUAUGGAGGAACACCAGUGGCGAAGGCGACUUUCUGGUCUGUAACUGACGCUGAUGUGCGAAAGCGUGGGGAUCAAACAGGAUUAGAUACCCUGGUAGUCCACGCCGUAAACGAUGAGUGCUAAGUGUUAGGGGGUUUCCGCCCCUUAGUGCUGCAGCUAACGCAUUAAGCACUCCGCCUGGGGAGUACGACCGCAAGGUUGAAACUCAAAGGAAUUGACGGGGACCCGCACAAGCGGUGGAGCAUGUGGUUUAAUUCGAAGCAACGCGAAGAACCUUACCAAAUCUUGACAUCCUUUGAAAACUCUAGAGAUAGAGCCUUCCCCUUCGGGGGACAAAGUGACAGGUGGUGCAUGGUUGUCGUCAGCUCGUGUCGUGAGAUGUUGGGUUAAGUCCCGCAACGAGCGCAACCCUUAAGCUUAGUUGCCAUCAUUAAGUUGGGCACUCUAGGUUGACUGCCGGUGACAAACCGGAGGAAGGUGGGGAUGACGUCAAAUCAUCAUGCCCCUUAUGAUUUGGGCUACACACGUGCUACAAUGGACAAUACAAAGGGCAGCUAAACCGCGAGGUCAUGCAAAUCCCAUAAAGUUGUUCUCAGUUCGGAUUGUAGUCUGCAACUCGACUACAUGAAGCUGGAAUCGCUAGUAAUCGUAGAUCAGCAUGCUACGGUGAAUACGUUCCCGGGUCUUGUACACACCGCCCGUCACACCACGAGAGUUUGUAACACCCGAAGCCGGUGGAGUAACCAUUUAUGGAGCUAGCCGUCGAAGG
rnacentral:rRNA from 1 species